rnacentral:rRNA from 1 species
CCUACGGGAGGCAGCAGUGGGGAAUCUUGCGCAAUGGGCGAAAGCCUGACGCAGCAACGCCGCGUGCGGGAAGAAGGCUCUCGGGUUGUAAACCGCUUUCAGCAGGAACGAAAAUGACGGUACUUGCAGAAGAAGGUGCGGCCAACUACGUGCCAGCAGCCGCGGUGACACGUAGGCACCAAGCGUUGUCCGGAUUUAUUGGGCGUAAAGAGCUCGUAGGCGGUUCGGUAAGUCAGGUGUGAAAACUUUGGGCUCAACCCAAAGCCUGCAUCUGAUACUGCUGUGACUAGAGUUCGGUAGGGGGAGCGGGGAAUUCCUAGUGUAGCGGUGAAAUGCGCAGAUAUUAGGAGGAACACCGGUGGCGAAGGCGCCGCUCUGGGCCGAAACUGACGCUGAGGAGCGAAAGCGUGGGUAGCAAACAGGAUUAGAUACCCUGGUAGUCCACGCCGUAAACGUUGGGCACUAGGUGUGGGUCUCAACCAACGAGAUCCGCGCCGUCGCUAACGCAUUAAGUGCCCGCCUGGGAGUCGGCCGCGAAGGUAAACUCGAAGGGAAUUGACGGCUGAGAGNGCGAGACGACGACGAGGAGAGG